AACACGCGAAAGAUGCCCGAGGGAGAGAAAAACGAGGCGAAAAAGUGAUAACGGAAAUGGAAAAUUGGGAGAAGAGAGAGAGAGAGAGAGAGGGGAAAAAGAAGCAAUGAGAUGGCCCGGCGGAUCUCCACGGGCGAGGCGUGGGUGAUGGACAGAAACCCUCCGAUAUUUGCCGCAGUGUUGAACGAUGAAUUGUUGUUUAGCUGGUUCGAUUGAAAUUUCGGCGUCCGUAUCUUAGCUGCAUGUCAUUGAUGCGCUGGUUUGACAGUGGAGUAGUGGUGGUGCAUGCGUGUGUUGGAUGUUAGCCAGUGCUCAGCUCUGGUGGGGGUUUCGACGAUUCAUUUGUUGCGAGGUUAUUUCGAUAUAUUCUCGUGGCUUUAGGCAUUUGGUUCUGGCUGUGUUUUGAAUUGACUGUGUAGUUUCUUAAAAUUAACGUUUGGAAAUAUUGAUUGAACAAAUCGCUUAUGAGGACUUGAAUUUAGGCUGUUCACAGU